AGAAACAGCAGUUGAGUGUUUUCAGUCUGUGGUCAGAGUCGGUCUCAUUGUGGAUCUAUAGUGACAGCAGCUAUACACAGGACCCUCAACUCAUCUAUACGUGUUUCAAGCCUCUAUUCUUCAGCAGCAUUCGGCAGUUCUGUGGAGAACAUGAUUCUGUCGCUGGUUUUUCUGCUUUUAAUUCAGAGUGGCGGUGUCACUCCAGUCACCGUCAGCACUCACAUUCCGAUAGUUCAGGUGCAGGAAAAUUCAGAAGCCGAGCUCUCCUGUGACUUUAAGACCGAGCACGAGAGCAAUCCUCGCAUCGAGUGGAAGAAGAAAGACAAAGAGGUGUCAUUCGUUUAUUUUGAAGGACACUUCACAGGGCCCUACCAGGGUCGCGCGACAAUCGACGGGGCCACGGUACGACUCCAGAGAGUGACUCAGGCGGAUGCGGGCGAGUAUCGCUGUGAGGUGAGCGCCCCUCUCGACUCCAUCAAACUGGGAGAGACCAACGUCACGCUGAAGGUUCUGGUCCCACCCCACACCCCAUCAUGUGAAAUCCCGAGCUCCGCCCUGACGGGCUCACAUGUGGAGCUCCGCUGUAAGGACCAACACAGCAUCCCUCCAGCCAGCUACACCUGGUACAAGGACAAGACGCCCCUGAUGCCCGUACGCCAAACAAACGCCAACUACACGGUCGACGAGAUUAGCGGUGUGCUGAUCUUUCAGACGGUCAGCAGAUCUGAUACGGGACUUUAUUACUGUGAAGCCAAAAACGGCGUGGGAUCUCCAAAACGCUGUGAGAGCACACACAUGCAGAUUGAUGAUCUGAAUGUACCAGCAGUGAUCACUGGAGUUGUUGUAGUGUGUAUUCUUGUGAUAUUGUGCACUUUUGGAGUGUGUUACGCCCAUCGACAGGGAUACUUCAGCCGUAUGUUCAAAUCAGUUUUAGUUGCUCUAAUAAUUUAUUAUGCUUUCUCUCUUUGUGUUUUUUCGUUUUAUUUGGUAAGUUCUGUCGGAUAAGCGGUAGAAAAUGGAAUGGAAUGGAAAGUUCUGUUAAAGAUGUCAGGAGUAAAUUAUGGGACAGUAAAAGGAGGAGUUUAUUUUGCGAAAGCAUAUCUCUUUUCAAAAAUCAUGUUUUGUUUUGUUAAGUUUUUAUCGUGUUAGUUAUCUAGAGGUAUUUUUUCAGUUAUUAUAACUUAAUUAAAGGAAGCCAACUGAAGUUUGAUUGGAAUGCUCAGUAAAAAAAAGAUAUUUGAACAUUUUUAAAAACGGACCUGUCAUGUGCCCCUGAAAUUACUCUGACUUUGUUUCUCUUUUGACUUUUGUACCAUCAUACACAGGACACAGAGGAAGGUAAGAUGAAGAAGUUAUCAUAACUAACAGAAAUGUGUGUGUGUUUUUUAUUGUGUGUGAGACUUGCACUCAAUUGUUUUUCGCCUUUAAUAAAACGAUAGGAAGACCGGUUUGUCUUCGUCGUGACUAAAGCAUCGAAUUGUGAUUGGUUAAUGACUGCAUGCGAUGGGUUAAUGACUCCACGUCUCAUCUCUGUUGAGUUAUCUGCUCGAUAUCUGUUUACUAAUAGUCUGAAGUUCUGCAUGCUGCGAAGCGACUGUAACGUUUGACUUCUGACCUCUGACCUCAGCGGUCCGUUAUUGCAGGUCAUUCUGGAUCGCACAGUGUCACGGUGUGGCGCACAUAAGCAGUCAGAACCUCAACAGAACUGAGCACAUGUGAGUCUGACACCAACUGGCGAUAAGGUUGAGGGUUGAACUAAAGUUAUGGGGACCCAAAAAAAUCUGCUGAUCCACGACGAGAUUGACGAAAACUGUCACGUCAUUAGACUUUGGCUAUAUUGUGGCAAGAAGAAUAUCAGUAUAAUUGUGAUAUAGAAUUGUCAUUUGUGAAUAGUUUACUUUUUUUGUGAUUCUUAAGCAAAAUUUUAAACUGAAACCAAAUUGUUCACAAUAUUGUGAUAUGUGUAGAAUUAACACAAUAUAAAUUAUCAAGUUAUUGUUAAUACUGGUUCUGUUUAUUGUGAAAUUUUACAUAAAAAAUAUAUUUUUUUCCGGACAAGCGAAAGAAUGUUUUGAAAUUUAAAAAAAAAUUAGGACGUUUAAAAAUUUAAGAUUGAAAUAAAUUAAAAAAAUUGGGUCUUUAGACAAACAAGUGUUUGAGUGAGUGAGUGAAUGUGUAUUUUAUAAUAUAUUCCUAUGAUCUAUUAUGUGUUUAUUUUUCUUGUGUUGUCAUGUAAUUAUUGAAUCUUUCAGUGUGUAAUAAAUUAAUUUGCUCUCAUCUUUCAGACAACAUUCAGGGUACAGUCACCCGCCACAGGAAUCCCAGGAUUUCAAACACACCCAAUCGUUCAUGUUGUGAUGGAGAACAGACUCAUCAUCUCUGGAUUCUUCUCUGCAGUUGGACUGAAAUGCAAUAAUGUGUGAAAUGUUUCUUACAUUACAUCUCUCAAGCCUUUGAUGGACUGUAAAAUAAAUUGAAAGGCUGUUUUGGGAGAUGUUUGAUUCUCUACUGACCCCAAGUUGAUCCCUUUCGCAGCCCCUGCUGGCCAAGGGUAUUAAUGGCCACUUGCGCCCGCUUGUGGAAACUCUGAAGCAGUAACAUGGAUUGAGCAUGUUCCAGUAUGACCUUGUGCCUUACAAGCAGAGACUCUUCUACUCUUAGUUAAAUGUUUUUGUGCCUUUUUAUUUCAACUAAGUAUCAAGUCUGUUUAACUGGAGUGUGAGAAUGUAAAUCUUUGAAUGGCUGAUUUGCUGUAUUUUUUCAGUAUUAUCUUUUUUUAAAUAAAUAUUGAAAGUCUUGAGCUCUA